GUGAAGCGGCAAAAGCUCAAAUUUGAAAUCUGGCACUUUCAGUGUCCGAGUUGUAAUUUGAAGAAGGUAUCUUUGGGUCUGGCUCUUGUCUAUGUUUCUUGGAACAGAACGUCACAGAGGGUGAGAAUCCCGUGCGAUGAGAUGUCCCAGACCUAUGUAAAGUUCCUUCGAAGAGUCGAGUUGUUUGGGAAUGCAGCUCUAAGUGGGUGGUAAAUUCCAUCUAAAGCUAAAUAUUGGCGAGAGACCGAUAGCGAACAAGUACAGUGAUGGAAAGAUGAAAAGAACUUUGAAAAGAGAGUGAAAAAGUACGUGAAAUUGUUGAAAGGGAAGGGCUUGAGAUCAGACUUGGUAUUUUGUAUGUUACUCUCUCGGGGGUGGCCUCUACAGUUUACCGGGCCAGCAUCAGUUUGAGCGGUAGGAUAAGUGCAAAGAAAUGUGGCACUGCUUCGGUAGUGUGUUAUAGUCUUUGUCGAUACUGCCAGCUUAGACUGAGGACUGCGGCUUCGGCCUAGGAUGUUGGCAUAAUGAUCUUAAGUCGCCCGUCUUGAA
rnacentral:rRNA from 1 species